rnacentral:rRNA from 1 species
GACGAACGCUGGCGGCGUGCUUAACACAUGCAAGUCGAACGGAAAGGCCUGCUUUCCCUUGUGGAUUGCGGGUACUCGGGUGGCGAACGGGUGAGUAACACGUGAGUGAUCUGCCCCCAACUUGGGUAUAAGCCUGUGAAACUGGGUCUAAUUUCCGAUAGGACUGCAGGGUGGUGCCUGUGGUGGAAUACGAUUUUCUAGUGGUUGGGGAUGAGCUCGCGGCCUAUCAGCUUGUUGGUGGGGUAAUGGCCUACCAAGGCGGCGACGGGUAGCCGGACUGAGAGCGUGGACGGUCACAUUGGGACUGGGUCACGGCCCCGACGGCUACGGGAGGCGGGGGUGGGUAAUAUAGCGCAAUGAGCGGAAGCCUGCUGCGGCGACGCCGCGUGGAGGGUGUCCGCCUUCGAGUUGUAAUCUCCUUGCGACCGCGAGGAGGCCGCCUGGUUGGAAGGGUGGUGACGGUAGUGGUAGAGGAAGCACCGGCUAACUACGUG